CCUCUUCCUCAAUGAAAAGGUUACGAGGACGUGGAUAGUAUCUAUGCAUCUAAUGAAGACUUUAAGAACAUGAAAGAGAAAGAAAGGGUUAGAGGGACUCAUCUGCUGGAAUACUUUGUCAGUAGGUGUAAUGAAAUUGGGGUGUCCUGUCAAGCAUGGAUUAGGCAGGGCGACCCCAAAGAUGUGAUAUUGAAUGAGGUGAAACGGCUACGUCCAGAUUUACUAGUUGUGGGAAGCAGAGGUCUUGGACCUUUCCAAAAGUAUGUGCUUGGUCUC